AGAAGAUUUGACUAGGGGUGAUCCAAAUUCGACCAAAUAGGAUCGGAUCUGAUCCGAUCCAUUUGCAUCCCUAGAGUAUGGUGCCUAAUGUGAGAUUUCAAUUCUUUUAGAAAUAGUUCUAAUAAAAUUGGUAAAGUGUGAUGCCUAGCCAAACUCAGUGAUUUAAUAAUCUCUUCAAUCACUGUAUCCUCAUUAAUAUGGAUUGGAUAUGAAAGGUAUACAAUAUAAAUGGAAAACUUAUACCACCAAAGAAAAUUUUGAUUUGGUUCUUACUAAUGAAACUUGGAGGUGUGAUUUUCCUAAGAGCAACCUUUCUCUCUUCCGACUAUACUGCUCUCCUUCUCACAAACCUCCCUUACUCCUCUAGCUAAACCUUUUCGAUUUGAGGUCAUGUGGUGGUUGGAUCCAUGGCUUGGUGAGAUGGUUAAGAAUGCGUGGGAGGGUGGGGUUUAUAGUUUGAGAGCAAAAUAAUUAAUGAGGAAAAGAAAUUGUAAACGAUAACGUGCAUGGCACAUACACGUGGACCUCUUGUAGAUAAUCCUUAUCUCUGUAUAUUAUCUCUAUAAAGGAUAAACUUAUCCUAGUAAGAUAAGCUCUAUCCCAAUUAGGAUUCUAUCUAACCUAUCCUAACUAGGAGAGGACUUACCCACUCUUGUACUCUAUAAAUAUCAGUAGUGAAAGACAAACAAGGUAAUUCGACCAUUACUCUCAUAUGGUAUUAGAGUCAUAAGCAGUUCUUUGUUUUUUUUUUUUUUUUCCUUUUCCUCUUCUUUUCAAGCAGUUCUUUUUCUUCAGGUUUUUGUCAUGUCUUCCAACAUGUCUACCAGUUCGAUCAAUCAAAUAAACUUCGGAGCAUCGGGGAAUCAUAUUCCUCAUUUGAUUUCGGUUUGGUUGGAUGAUUCCAAUUAUAUUGUAUGGCGCUUUCAGGUUGAAAAUGCCCUUCUGGGCCUUGAGCUCCUCGGAUAUGUCGAUGGGACAACCCCUUAUCCAUCUGCCUUGAUGACAAAACCCUAUACACAAUGGGUUAAGUAGGAUCAUUAUAUUUUCAGCUAGCUAUUAUCUUCUCUAACAGAAACAGCACUAGCGCAAGUCAUGGGAAGCAAAACCAGUAAGGAUGUUUGGGAAACCCUUGAGAGCCUUUAUUCUCCUCGAGGAACGACUAGUGUUGCCCUCGGAAACGAACUCGAAGCACUGCGAAAGAAUGAUCUCUCAAGGUACUUGGUGACAAGCUAGCCGCAAUUGGAGAGCCUUUGACAAAUUCGUAGCUAAUUCAUCAUGCCCUCAAUGGCCUCAGUCUAGAGUAUGAUGCUUUCUUUACAGCUAUCAUUACCCGAACAGAUGAAUUACCAUUUGCUAGCUUACAAGGUACUGUCGAAAACUCCUUGCACAUAUUGACAGUCUGAAGAACCCUAAACAACCACAAUCCCUGGCGUUUACGGCUGCUUCCAACGGCAACAAGCAGAAUACAGAUAUCUGGUUUCCUAAUUCUGGAGCAACACAUCACCUCACUUCACAUCUCACUAAACUACAAAUCCAUACUGACUAUGAUGGAUUUGAUCGAGUCUCUAUUGGCGACGGUUCAGGUUUGCAGAUUGCUCAUUCUAGUUUUUCUACUAUUUCUACUUUAUCUUCCAGAUCAUUGCUUAUGAAUAAUAUUCUACAUGUUCCCCGGAUCUCCUUCAAUCUCUUAUCUGUGGCUUGGUUUUCUACUGAUAAUAAUGUCUACUUUGAAUUUCAUCCUCAUGAAUUUUUUGUGAAGGAUCAAUGCACCGGGAUAAUACUUUUUCAAGGGCCGAAUAAAGAUGGCUUGUAUCAGCUUCAUCUUCUUAUUACGUUACCAACUUCGUCCCCCUAUGCUUUUGUAGGUACUCGUGCUAGCCCUACGAUUUGGCACCAUCGUCUAGGUCACCCUACUCUUAGUGUGGCCAAAAGUUAUGUACUUUCUUUUUCCAGAAACCAUACUAUUAGUAAAUCACUUUUGGAAUUAAUUCAUUGUGACUUAUGGAGACCCUCUCUAAUGACAUCUGCUUCUACCUAUCAUUACUAUA